GUUUGAUCCUGGCUCAGGAUGAACGCUAGCGGCAGGCUUAACACAUGCAAGUCGAGGGGUAACAGAGGUAGCUUGCUACUUGCUGACGACCGGCGCACGGGUGCGUAACGCGUAUAGAAUCUACCUUAUACUGGGGGAUAGCCUUUGGAAACGAAGAUUAAUACCCCAUAGUAUGUUUGAAUGGCAUCAUUUAGGCAUUAAAGUUUCGGCGGUAUAAGAUGACUAUGCGUUCUAUUAGUUUGUUGGUAAGGUAACGGCUUACCAAGACUACGAUAGAUAGGGGUCCUGAGAGGGAGANCCCCCACACUGGUACUGAGACACGGACCAGACUCCUACGGGAGGCAGCAGUGAGGAAUAUUGGACAAUGGAGGCAACNCUGAUCCAGCCAUGCCGCGUGUAGGAAGACUGCCCUAUGGGUUGUAAACUACUUUUAUAUGGGAAGAAUAAGGUCUACGUGUAGACUGAUGACGGUACCAUAAGAAUAAGCACCGGCUAACUCCGUGCCAGCAGCCGCGGUAAUAAGGGCGAAU
rnacentral:rRNA from 1 species